rnacentral:lncRNA from 1 species
GGUUUGACUGUGUGACCGGAAGGUCGAAUAUGUUAUGUGAUAUGUAUGCUAUAUGUGGUAAGUUAAUUGUUAUAUGUGCUAUGUAUGAUAUGUGGGCCGGAAGGCAAUAUGUUAUGGGCCGGAAGGCGAUUAUGUUAUGGGCCGGAAGGCGUUGUAUUGAGGACCGGAAGGUCAGGGCCUGGAAAGGCGUAUGUGUGUAAGUGUAUAUUGGGGAACUCACUAAGCAUUUAUGCUUACAGUUGUUGUGUAUGUAUUUCAGGUACUAGCGAGGACCGUGGGAAGGCGCCGGCAUGAUCGAUACACACUGAAGAUUGUUUUAUGAUCUUGGGAGUUUGAAUAAUUGUAUUGACCGAAUAAUUAAACUAUUUAUGCCUUGUUUUUAAUGGAAACAAUUAUGUUUUAAAAAUGAAAAAUUUGUUUGAAAAAUUUGAGUUGUUACAAUUGGUAUCAGAGCCUUGGUUUGAGGGAUUCGGGUGCACCUUAGGGGGUAACUGAACUCAAACCGAGGAUUUGAGGAAACUUUUCAAAUAAAGGCAUAAACUUUUGUAAAUGGUUUUGUGGUAAGCAAGAAAGAAGCAGUGUGUACGAUCAGUCAGCGCCCGAACGGUAAAGAUCCCCAAAAUACCUUACAAUAUUAUAUGAUAUGAAUUGUUAUGCAUGCUAGAAGACUAGGUAUUCAUGAUAGGACUAGAGUGGCCUGAUUUGUGAUGCCUUAGUCUAGGGAAGUUGCCUAUAUGAGAUGCUUUGCUAGUAUGCGGGUAGAUAGAGCGUAUCAGAAGUAGAGUACUCACUAUCUGGAGUUUGGGGAGGAGGACUUGGGAUGAACAUUGAUGCGGUGUGGUCGGUAGUAUUGGGCCCGUACUACCGAGGACACCGGGUCAGUGGGAGGCCCAAGUAAGAAUCCCUGGAUAUCUGGGACUGAGUAGGGUUGCGUGUCGAGUACGAUUAUACUCGGUAGAAUCUCUGAUAGUUUUAUGUUGUAUUUCAGAGAUAUCAUGGUUAGACCGCGGCACGGGGCAAGUACGAGCGGUGUGAGUGACGAGGAUAUUCGUCAGAUGAUCCACGAGGAGGUGGCGGCGGCGAUCCGGGCUGAGAUCCCGGAGAUGUUUGGGUCUAUCAAGACCACCCUGAUGGAGACGUUCGACGAGCGGUACGCCGCAUUGACUGAGGCUGCAACCGCUGCAGCUACCGCAGCUGUGGCCGCUGCUAGGCCACAGGGGGGUGAUUCAUUGCUGUUCCGAGAGUUCAGCAACACGAAGCCACCAGAGUUCGAUGGGACGCAGGAUCCGAUUGCUGCGAUGAGGUGGAUCGCAGAUAUAGAGGGGUGCUUCUACACUUGUUCAUGCCCGGAGCACCUGAGGGUACGGUUCGCUUUGAACCAGCUCCGUCUGGGAGCAAAGGACUGGUGGAAGUUCGUGACGGCGAACUUCACUUUGGCAGAGACUGCGGCAGUGACAUGGGAGGGGUUCACUACCAUGUUCAGGGAGGAGUACGUUCCCCCGGUGGAGCGGGAACGAUUGGUUCAGGAGUUCUUAACCCUCAAGCAGGGUACUGAUUCGGUGGCGGCGAUCACGCGGAAGUUCCAUGAGAGGGCGAUGUUUUGCCCCGAGCUGGUGGCCACAGAGCAGGCUCGGAUGAGCCGGUACUUGGGUGUUCUGAGGAGGGAGAUCCGGGAGUUUGUGUCAAACUCCACUUAUCAUACUUUUACUGAGCUUCAGGCGAAUGCCAGGAAGCGUGAGAUCGAGUUAGAGACUCAGGCCAGGGAGGAGGCCGAGUCUCAGCAGGCAGACCGGCGGCCGGCUCAGUCUCAGCCGGCAGCCAAGCGGAUCAAGUCCGCCGAUUCGAGGACGGGAGGUUCGAAGAACCGCACUUGCGUAAAGUGCGGUAAGGGUCACGAUGGGGCGUGUCGAGCCGGUGCUUGCUACAAGUGUGGCAAGGAGGGACACAUUGCUAGGGAGUGUCCCAAGGGAUUUAUGGUUUGCUUUCAUUGCAACCAGACCGGCCAUCGGAAGGCCGAGUGCCCUCAGCUUCGUCAGGGAUCUGCACCUGUUGCCAGGACUACUGAGACUCGACCGGUGAAGGUCGAGGCCCCGAGGGCUCGUGGGAGAGCCUUUCAGCUGACUGCGGAGGAGGUCCGCGCUGCGCCCGAUGUUGUGGCAGGUAUGUUGUAAUUCGUGUAAUUAUUUUAAUGUCGAUAUGUUAUGCUUAUGUUAUUAUGCGCGUAGGUACUUUCCUUGUGAACUCUGUGCCUGCUUUAGUGUUAUUUGACUCGGGUGCGAGUAGGUCCUUUGUGUCCUUAGCCUUUAGUCAGCAGAUUGGCGUUAGUCGUGAGUCGUUGAGUCGACCUUUGAGAGUUUCUAUAGCUGACGAGAAAGUGAUUCGUGCUACGGAGGUUCUUCGGGGAUGUGUACUAGAGAUUUUCGGGGUUGAAUUCCCGAUUGACCUGAUUCCUAUUGCGAUGGGGGAUGUCUGUGUUAUCGUGGGCAUGGACUGGUUGAGCCGAUUCGGCGCUGUCAUCGACUGCGAGCGUCAGUUGGUGACCAUACGAGACCAUAGUGGGGGAGUUCUUUCGGUGUACGGUGAGGGUACUCGUUCAGGAUCAGCUUUUUGUUCGGCCGCUAGGGCGAGGCAGUGUCUACAGCAGGGCUGUAAGGGUUUUGUGGCGUAUGUGAUGGAUACGCGGGAGGUUUCCGAGAGACCGAAGUCAAUUAAGGAGGUCCCUGUGGUGCGUGAGUUUUCAGAUGUUUUUCCCGAGGAACUGCCGGGAGUACCUCCUGUGAGGCAAGUAGAGUUUGGUAUCGAUCUGGUUCCGGGGGCCGCGCCUAUUGCUAAAGUGCCCUAUCGUCUUGCACCUCCAGAGAUGCAAGAGUUGUCCUCGCAACUCCAGGAGUUGCUGGGAAAGGGAUUCAUUCGGCCGAGCAGCUCGCCAUGGGGAGCACCUAUUCUGUUCGUCAAGAAGAAGGAUGGUUCACACCGGAUGUGCAUUGAUUACCGGGAGUUGAACAAGCUAACGGUCAAGAACCGUUACCCGUUGCCGAGGAUCGAUGAUUUAUUCGAUCAGUUGCAGGGAGCAUCUUGGUUUUCCAAGAUCGAUCUGAGGUCAGGAUACCAUCAGGUGAGAGUACGGGAUGAAGACGUCCAGAAGACAGCGUUUAGGACGCGAUAUGGGCAUUAUGAGUUUGUGGUGAUGCCUUUUGGACUCACCAAUGCCCCGGCUGUGUUCAUGGAUCUCAUGAACAGGGUAUGCAGGCCGAUGUUGGAUCGGUCAGUGAUCGUAUUUAUCGACGACAUUCUGGUGUAUUCGAGAUCUAGAGAGCAGCAUGAGGAGCAUUUGAGGGAGGUCCUUGAGGUAUUGAGGUCGGAGAAGCUUUAUGCAAAGUUCUCCAAAUGUGACUUCUGGUUGCGGGAGGUCCAGUUUCUAGGACAUGUGGUUAAUCAGAAAGGGAUAUUGGUCGAUCCGGCCAAGGUUGAGGCGGUGAUGAGUUGGGAGGUGCCGAAGUCACCCUCUGAGAUCAGAAGUUUCCUUGGGUUGGCAGGGUAUUAUCGGAGAUUUAUCAAGGAUUUCUCCAAGAUCGCAGUGCCACUCACCAGAUUGACCCGGAAGGGUGUUACAUUCUCAUGGGGGCCCGAGCAGCAGACCUCCUUUGAGACACUUCGCCAGAGAUUGUGCGAAGCCCCGGUAUUAGCUCUCCCAGAAGGGAUGGAAGAUUUCGUGGUAUAUUGCGACGCAUCGAUUUCGGGAUUGGGUGCAGUGUUGAUGCAGAGGGGUCAUGUGAUAGCUUAUGCGUCGAGGCAGCUGAAGCCUCAUGAGGCGAGAUAUCCCACGCAUGAUUUAGAGUUGGGGGCAGUAGUGUUCGCUCUCAAGAUUUGGCGUCACUACUUGUAUGGGGUUCGAUGUACGAUAUACACGGACCAUAAGAGUUUGAAGUAUUUGAUGGAUCAACCCAACCUAAAUAUGCGUCAGAGGAGGUGGUUGGAUGUGGUCAAGGAUUAUGAUUGUGAGAUCCUGUACCACCCAGGCAAGGCUAAUGUGGUAGCCGAUGCAUUGAGCCGCAGGGCGGAGAGCACUCCAUUGCGAGAUGUAUGCUUGAGACUGACUGUGAUGACUCCAGUAUUGGACGCUAUUCGUGGGGCCCAGGCAGAGGCUGUGCGACCAGAAAUGCAGAAGAAAGAGCGGGUUGUGGGGUUAAUUUCAGAGUUUGUCAAGGAUAGUCGAGGCCUUAUGACGUUUCAGGGUCGGAUUUGGGUACCGUUCGUGGGCGGUACGCGUAUUACGUUGAUGGAAGAGGCUCAUAGAUCGAAAUUCUCGAUCCAUCCCGGUGCUACAAAGAUGUAUUUGGAUUUAAGGAAGGAAUAUUGGUGGCCCUGUAUGAAGAGGGACGUGGCAUGGUUCGUUGAGAGGUGCUUGACCUGUCGUAGGGUUAAGGCUGAGCACCAGAGACCGCAUGGCAAGUUACAGCCAUUGGAGAUCCCCGAGUGGAAGUGGGAACAGAUUACUAUGGAUUUUAUCACCAAAUUGCCGAGGACUGCUAGGGGAGUUGACGCAAUUUGGGUGAUCGUGGAUAGGUUGACAAAGAGUGCACACUUCCUUGCCAUCAGUGAGAGUUCUUCGGCGGAGAAAUUGGCGGAGAUAUACGUGAGAGAGGUGGUAUCUCGGCACGGGGUGCCGAUCUCGAUUGUGUCAGACCGUGAUGUGCGCUUUACUUCCAGAUUCUGGAAGAAAUUCCAUGAGGAGCUGGGUACUAAAUUGCAUUUUAGUACCGCAUACCAUCCCCAGACAGACGGUCAGAGCGAGCGGACAAUUCAGACGCUGGAGGACAUGCUCCGAGCGUGUGUGUUAGACUUCGGGGGUAGUUGGGAUGCGUAUUUACCAUUGGCAGAGUUUUCCUACAACAACAGCCAUCAUUCGAGCAUUGGUAUGCCACCUUUCGAGCUGUUGUAUGGUAGGAGGUGUCGGACCCCCAUUUGCUGGGGAGAGGUGGGACAGAGAGUGAUGGGCAGCACGGAGAUCGUGCUCCAGACGACAGAGCAGAUUCAGCGAGUGAGACAAAGGUUAUUGACUGCCCAGAGCCGACAGAAGAGUUAUGCAGACAGGCGCCGAUCCGAGCUUGAAUUUCAGGUCGGCGACUUCGUUCUCCUGAAGGUCUCUCCUUGGAAAGGAGUGAUUCGGUUCAGGAAGAGAGGCAAGUUGGGGCCCCGGUAUAUUGGGCCAUUUCGUGUGAUUGCAAGGAUAGGUCGGGUAGCCUAUCGGUUGGAGUUGCCAGCGGAGUUGGGUCAGAUCCAUGACACUUUUCAUGUGUCGCAGUUGAGGAAGUGCAUAGCCGAUGAGUCGGCAGUGGUUCCAUUGGAGGAUAUUCAGGUGGAUGCGAGCCUGAAUUACGCGGAGAGACCAGUGGCUAUCAGGGAUCGGAAGAUCAAGGUUCUGAGGAACAAGGAGGUACCUCUGGUGUUGGUUCAAUGGCAACACCGUAAGGGAUCAGAAAUGACUUGGGAACCGGAGCGCGAAAUGCGGGAGCAGCAUCCGGAACUAUUUGCAGAAUGAGACUUCGAGGGCGAAGUCUAAUCCAAGUGGGGGAGAAUUGUAACAGCCCGGAAUCUCAGGUAUUAUUAAAAUUAUGUUUUUGGGGUGAUUUAAGAGGGGACUCGGCGAGUUGGAGCCUAGACUCGCCGAGUAGGAUCGCGGACUUGGUCGCGGGUCCGCGACUGGACUCGACGAGUCCAGAUAUGGACUCGGCGAGUCGACGCUGUUCAGCAGAAACCCUAACCGUUCAGUUUGAAUCGUAUAUAACGCCUCUUAGGCCGUCAUUUUCAGUCUUUUGGUCGAUUGAGAAGAACCCUAAUCGCUGUGGACGUCUAGAGCAGGAGAGAAAGCUUUUGGAACUUGGAAGAAUUGGUUAGACAAGAAGAAGAAGAAAUUGGUCAAAGGAAUAUCAAGGAGGAUCGAGUCCUGAGGUUUGGGGGACACAGAGAGAACGUUCUCAGGUAAUACUCGGAUCAAUUAUGUUAGUUAAUGUGCCUAUGAACCUAGGGUUUAUGAAAAACCCAUUUAGUGAUUAGAUGGGUUAUUAUGUUAUUACCCAGAUGUUAUACCCACAGUAAAGAGAUGUUUAGACGUCCAGAGGGUCCCAUGGUUGUAUAUCUUGGGACCAUACGUAAUUCAGGAAGCAGUUACUCGUCUGCAUGGCAUGGACUCGCCGAGUUGUUCUUCAGACUCGGCGAGUAGCUUGAAGAUUUACUGGGACUCGCCGAGUUGUUCUUCAGACUCGGCGAGUGGAGUCGGGGUGGCCCCGCGAUUCUUCCAGGAGUAACUCGUCGGGUCGAGGAGGGUACUCGACGAGUAGAUAAGGAAUCUCAGAAAGUUGGAAGACGUCUAGACUCGCCGAGUCGCCAUGGUACUCGCCGAGUCCGGUUGAGCUGACCGUUGACCGUUGACCAGAGUUGACCUAAGUCUGACUUCUUAGGGAUAGUCACACUUAGAAGAGAUAAGUAUUAAUGAGUUACGUAAUGUUAUAGGGAGGUUGUAGCUCGUCGGUUGUGCACGAGUCAUUUCAGGAGUUGCUAGCUUUCAGCAUAUACGAGGUGAGUCUUCUCACUAUACUGUACCCGGAAGGGUUUGACUGUGUGACCGGAAGGUCGAAUAUGUUAUGUGAUAUGUAUGCUAUAUGUGGUAAGUUAAUUGUUAUAUGUGCUAUGUAUGAUAUGUGGGCCGGAAGGCAAUAUGUUAUGGGCCGGAAGGCGUUGUAUUGAGGACCGGAAGAUCAGGGCCUGGAAAGGCGUAUGUGUGUGUAAGUGUAUAUUGGGGAACUCACUAAGCAUUUAUGCUUACAGUUGUUGUGUAUGUAUUUCAGGUACUAGUGAGGACCGUGGGAAGGCGCCGGCAUGAUCGAUACACACUGAAGAUUGUUCUAUGAUCUUGGGAGUUUGAAUAAUUGUAUUGACCGAAUAAUUAAACUAUUUAUGCCUUGUUUUUAAUGGAAACAGUUAUGUUUUAAAAAUGAAAAAUUUGUUUGAAAAAUUUGAGUUGUUACAGUUCUAAUGGCAUAAAUCUUCCACAUUUAUGCUUUUACUACUCAAGACACUCCUAGAUCUAAAAGGAUCUGGAUUGGGGACGUCCAAAUCCCACAAUAGAUCAUCCUUGGUCCAUAAACUUCAUAAAAAGGGACAUAAAGAGAUCUAACAAGCUAGAGGUCAAGGAAGUAACUUGAUUACCAAAAUCCGCAGCAAGCGGAGUGAAUCUUCUAGAUCUACUCCUUCCUCCUUGAACCUCCAACCUUCUUCUUGUUCCUCCAAGCUUCAACAAUGCUCCAAAAUUCCAAAAAUGACUCACAACUCAAGGGAGGCUCUAGGGUUUUCGUUCUGGACUUGAGAGAGUAUCAAGGGGCGGAUGAAGGCUAUAAUGUUCCUUAAAUAUGGUCCAAGGCCCUCAUUUAGCGUUUUUCCCCAAACCUGGUCAACUC